GAGGAGUUCACAGCUGCAGGGGUUUCUGGAGAGACUUAAAUUGUCUGGAAUCUGAAGCGGUGAGAAGAUCUGGCUGCACACCCUUCUUACCUGUGAGGCUCACAUCCGCCAGCCCUCCUGUUGGGCUCUCCGCAGGAAGUGUAUAUCUCCUUUCCCGGUGCGUACCUGGCUUCCCCUGUCUUCAUCCUCAGUGCUCAGGCCAACUUUGGUUCAGCUGUGAUGCUCUCCAUCUGGGAGGUUCAUCACUAACCUGUCUCCAACUGCCAUGCCCGAGGGAGCUCCUGGUCUUGUCAUCUCGUCUCUCCAGCCAGAAAUCUCCCACGGCUUCCAACUGCCUUCAGGAUAAACUCGAAACUCUGUACUCCCUUAGUGUGGCACACGGGGGCCUCCCUGACUGGGCCCAGGCCACACUUAGCAGGCCGAGAAUGAACUAGGUAGCCGGACUGUCUGGAAUUCAAACUCUGACUCCACUCUAACCGCGAUGGCAACUUCAGUGACUUCUCUGAGCCUCCAUUUCCUUGUUGCUAAAAUGAGUACGCUAAGAAGGGACUCACUUCACCUGGUAGUGGUAGGAAUGACUCACCUGCCUCUCUAGAACUGGCUUGAGACGAGGGUUCAGGGAUCAGCUGCCACCCACUCACUGCUCCUCGGUGGGUGGACUUCUGUCAACUCUGGGGUCCUUCCCAACCCCAACGCUCACGUCAUAUUUCCGUUCCCUCACCUGGUCGUCGUCGUGGCCCUCUUCUCCUGUGAAGAGACACCUGAGUGAAGCACCUCGGGUGUCUCCUAACGUCACUGUGAACACCGUCAGAAAGGUGGGGGCAGGAACUUUGGUCCCAUGGAGGACAGGAAGUUCAGAUUUCCCUGGCCCAUGAGUCACGGAGCUUGUAUUUGAUCUGUGCACAAAUAUGGCGACCUACUCGUGACUCACACCGAGUUAGGAUGUGACCUGUUCUCUCCCCACGUCAGUGGGGCUUAGAGAUAUCUCCCAGGCCCUUCAAGCGCACUCACCUUGGCCCCCUUUACUCCACGAGAUAACUUUCUUCCAUGAAUCUCAGGGCCCUUUUCUACCCUGGGAACUUGGGGGUUAGGGGGCUCUUAGGUAAAGCACCCUGUGUCUUCUACACACUUUUUAUGCAAGUAGUGACUUUGCUCAGUAGCUAUGAGAGGUCUAAGAGAGAGGACCUUAGGUCCUGGCUGGGAACCCAGGGACUGAAGCCCCUUUGCCCUGCCUUCUUGUUCAUAGCCUGAUUAAGUAGGCUGUUCACGGUGUUCUCAGUUAAGCAAGGGAAACUGCUUCACUGUGGCUUCCUAACCUUGCUCUUAAACACAGCCUCUGUCAUGUCUCUUGACUAAAAAAAAAUAUUAAAACAUUAAUCUCUGCCUUCUCAUGUACCCUACGACAG
rnacentral:lncRNA from 1 species